rnacentral:rRNA from 1 species
AUUGAACGCUGGCUGCAGGCCUAACACAUGCAAGUCGAGCGAGCGGCGGACGCGUGAGUAAUGUAUGGGGCUCUGCCCGAUAGUGGGGGAUAACUACUGGACACGGUGGCUAAUACCGCCUGCUAUCUGAUGGACCCAUAUGGGAUUAGCUAGUAGGUGGGGUAAAGGAUCACCUAGGCAACGAUCUCUAGCUGGUCUGAGAGGAUGAUAAGCCACACUGGGACUGAAAUACGGCCCGGACUCAUACGCGAGGGAGCAGAGGGGAAUAGUGCACAAUGGGCGCAAGGCUGAUGCAGCCAUGCCGAGUGUAUGGAGGAGGCCUGAGGGUUGGAAAGGUAAUCCAGCGGGGAGGCGUUACCAGAAGAAGAAGCACCGGCUAACUCCGUGCAAGCAGCCGCGGUAAUAC